rnacentral:rRNA from 1 species
UACGUAGGGGGCGAGCGUUAUCCGGAUUUACUGGGUGUAAAGGGCGAGUAGGCGGGAUUACAAGUCAGAUGUGAAAUACCGAGGCUUAACUUCGGGGCUGCAUUUGAAACUGUAGUUCUUGAGUGAUGGAGAGGCAGGCGGAAUUCCCAGUGUAGCGGUGAAAUGCGUAGAUAUUGGGAAGAACACCAGUGGCGAAGGCGGCCUGCUGGACAUUAACUGACGCUGAGGAGCGAAAGCGUGGGGAGCAA